UUGAAGCUCUCGCUGUCACUUUUCUGAUGCCCUAAAUUCAAAUUCCUCCGCAUCAUCUGUACUUGUUGAAUAAAUAUUUAGGCCCACUCUGAUCACGGUGCAGAGAAAAUACUUUUUCCUUCCCUUUUUCAAGGUGUUUUCACAGCAGCUGACACAGUGUAUGUGUUUUCUAUUUGUAACCUGCCAUGGAGCUGGCUUAUUAUCAGAGGAGUGACCACAGUGUCACAGUAACUGCCCUUAUCCCCACAUUCACGCUCACCCCUCCGUCUAUUACCAUUGCCCUGGUCUUGUUCCAUGCCAUCUGUGUCCAUAGCAACUGGACAGAAUAGGUUACUUAUUAUAGGACAGGGGCUCAGCUGCCAGGUAGUUUACAAUGAGAUUUGUCAUAUCCUCUUCCAAACAGGUCAACAGCACAUGAGGUACAGGAGGUCAGAGAGAUCUGGUGACUGUAGAGGCCAUUUGAAUGCAGUGAACUCAUUGCCACGUUCAAGAAACCUCUUUAAGACAAUCUGAAUGUUGUGACAUGGAGUGUUAUCCUGCUGGAAGAUGGACGCACUCAGAUGGAGAAUAACUCAACAGCACAGAUGUUUUUCUGCAGAGAGUGCUGUCUGACAAAAAGCCC